GUAUCGGUCCCACGCGACGCACUCUCGCCAACCCCGCCAGGUCCGGAAGGAAGCAACGGUAACGAGCUCUGGCGUGUGCAGUGGGUUCCCGGUGCCUG
rnacentral:SRP_RNA from 1 species